rnacentral:rRNA from 1 species
AACGAACGCUGGCGGCAUGCCUAACACAUGCAAGUCGAACGAGACCUUCGGGUCUAGUGGCGCACGGGUGCGUAACGCGUGGGAACCUGCCCUUAGGUUCGGAAUAACUCCCCGAAAGGGGUGCUAAUACCGGAUAAUGUCUUCGGACCAAAGAUUUAUCGCCUUUGGAUGGGCCCGCGUUGGAUUAGCUAGUUGGUGGGGUAAAAGCCUACCAAGGCGACGAUCCAUAGCUGGUCUGAGAGGAUGAUCAGCCACACUGGGACUGAGACACGGCCCAGACUCCUACGGGAGGCAGCAGUGGGGAAUAUUGGACAAUGGGCGAAAGCCUGAUCCAGCCAUGCCGCGUGAGUGAUGAAGGCCUUAGGGUUGUAAAGCUCUUUUACCCGGGAUGAUAAUGACAGUACCGGGAGAAUAAGCUCCGGCUAACUCCGUG